rnacentral:tRNA from 1 species
GUUUUUAUAGUUGAAUACAACAUCGGCUUUUCAAGCCGGGGGUCUCGGUUAGAGUCCGGGUAAAAAUA